CAGGACGUCGCAGAGGGUGAGAAUCGCGUAUGUGGCCGAGGCCUGCGCCCGUGUAAAGCUCUUUCGACGAGUCGAGUUGUUUGGGAAUGCAGCUCAAAAUGGGUGGUAAAUUUCAUCUAAAGCUAAAUAUGGGCCAGAGACCGAUAGCGCACAAGUUGAGUGAUCGAAAGAUGAAAAGCACUUUGGAAAGAGAGUUAAACAGUACGUGAAAUUGUUGAAAGGGAAGCGCUUGCAACCAGACUUGGCAGCUGUUGAUCAUCCAAAGUUCUCUCUGGUGCACUCGACAGGGUACAGGCCAGCAACGGUUCGGGUGGCUGGGGGAAAGAUCGGAGGAACGUAGCUCUCCCUCGGGUGAGUGUUAUAGCCUCUGGUGCCAUACAGCCCAACCGGUCCGAGGACCGCGCCUUCGGGCUAGGAUGCUGGCGUACUGGUUGUAAGCGACCCG
rnacentral:rRNA from 1 species